rnacentral:rRNA from 1 species
UAGGGAAUCUUCCGCAAUGGACGAAAGUCUGACGGAGCAACGCCGCGUGAGUGAAGAAGGAUUUCGGUUCGUAAAACUCUGUUGUUAGGGAAGAAAAAAUGUAUAGUAACUAUAUACAAAAGAGACGGUACCUAACCAGAAAGCCACGGCUAACUACGUGCCAGCAGCCGCGGUAAUACGUAGGUGGCAAGCGUUGUCCGGAAUUAUUGGGCGUAAAGCGCGCGCAGGUGGUUUAGAAAGUCUGAUGUGAAAGCCCACGGCUCAACCGUGGAGGGUCAUUGGAAACGAAUAAACUUGAGUGCAGGAGAGAAAAGUGGAAUUCCUAGGGUAGCGGUGAAAUGAGUAGAGAAUAGGAGGAAAACCGGUGGCGAAAGCGGCUUUUUGGCCUGCAACUGACACUGAGGCGCGAAAGCGUGGGGAGCAAACAGG